UUCGUUAUAGACUAGUAGGUUAGAAUACUUUGCUUUUACCAGAGAGACCCGGGUUCAAUUCCUGGCAGCGGAA
rnacentral:tRNA from 1 species